rnacentral:lncRNA from 1 species
ACUGGACAUCACCACCCUGUCCAGACACCCAGAGCAGAGUGGGGGAUGGGGAAGGUGGCAGGUGGGGGACAAAUGGGUUGAUAUUUAUAGCAGACAAAUUAAUAAAGCUACAGAUAAUGCAUUUAGACAACAAUAAAAACACUUGAUAUCAAAACCUAGGAAACAUCUAAAGAAAUACUUAGUGGUCCAUUUAUAGCCCUAAAUACCUGUUACCAAAAGGAGAAGGUUUAAAAAUUAAUUACCUAAGCAUUCAACAAAGGAAGCUGAAAAAGAAUCACAGGGUAAAUCCAAAGAAAAUGGAAAAAAAAUAAAAGCAUAAAUUAAGGAAACAUGAAGCAAAGAAACAGUAGAGAUGCUUUUAUUUUUAAAUAGUUCUCAAAAAACAACCCUCUGGCAAACUGAUCAAGAAAAAACAGGAGUGAAGUCACAAAUAAAGACUGGCAGAUAGCAGUGAAGUUGUAAAAAUUCUAAAUGAAUGUAAGAAACUACUGUGAGUAUUGUACUGAUAAAUGUGAAACCAAAAAGCAAGAACAAUUUUCUAGAAAAAUAAUAUUGCCUACUGUAACUCAGUAAGAAAUUAAAUGCCUGAGUAGACUUAAAACAUUAAAUAAAUUGGAUUUGUAGUUCUUUUUAAAGCCAUGCACAGCCACUCACACUUACAUAAAAAUUACCAGAACAGAUGGUUUUACCUUCUGCCAAACCUUCAAAGAAAGAUACUCCUUACAUGACACAAAUUGUUCUAGAAGACAGAGGAAAAGGGUAAUCUCUCCAACUCAUUUUAUAAAGCCAGUAUCACCUUUUAGCUUUGAAAUAAAAAACAGGCAAGGAUAGUACCAGAAAGGAAAAUUAUGGGCCAAUUUCAGUUAUAAACAUGGAUGAAAAUGUUCUAAAUAAAAUCAGAGCAAAAACCCCUCAGAACUAACUAAAUGGUUUAUCUUAGAAAUAGAAGGUUGAAUAAAUGCCAGAAAAUCUAUCAAUGUAUAUUCACCACAUAAGUAGACAGAGGGAGAAAAAAAGAAAAUUAUUAUCUUGGUAGAUGCAGAAAAAAAGUUUAUGACAAAUUUCACCAUGCAUUUAUGAUAAAAACUCUCAGAAGACUAGGAAGGAAAUCUUCUUACUUUGAUAAAAGAUAAUAUCAAAAACUGAGAGUAAACAUCAUAUCUAAUGGAGAAACUUUAGACACGUGCUCUUUAAAAUUAGGCAGAAGAUGGCCGGGCACAGUGGCUCACGCCUGGAAUCCCAGCACUUUGGGAGGCUGAGGUGGGCGGAUCACAAGGUCAGGAGUUCGAGACCAGCCUGGCCAAUAUGGUGAAACCCCAUCUCUACUAAAAAUACAAAAAUUAGCCGGGCAUGGUGGUGCAUGCCUGUAGUCCCAGCUAGUUGAGAGGCUGAGGCAUGAGAAUUGCUUAAACCUAGGAGGCAGAGGUUGCAGUGACCCGAGAUCACGCCAGUGCACUCCAGCCUGGGUGACAGAGCGAGACUCUGUCUCAAAAAAACAUAUAAAUAAAUAAAAUAAAAAAUAAAAAAAUUAGGCAGAAGAUAAGCAUACCUGAUUCCAGGCAUUGUUCAGUAUAGUACUAGAUGAUCUGGACCAUGCUCUAAGACAUGAAAAAAAGUAAAGGUAUAAGGAUAGUUGCAUAGAAAAUAAAAAUAUUCAACAGAUAAACUGAUAGACAUGGUAAAAUAAAUCAUAACAUUCACCUGAUUGGUAAAAACUACAGAAAUCAACAGUGCUCCUAUACAUCAGCAAAAAUCAACAGGAAAUAUAACAGAGACACUUUUGUCUCUGGCCAUGAUGGACUAACUGGUAUUGGACCAGCCCUACCACUGUAAACAACUAGAAAACUGGAGAAAACAUAUGAAACAACUGUUGGCAUAUAUUGGACAAGAGGCAGCCCAGGACUAAGAUCUUGAGAGAAGAGAAAUGUAAGAGGCAAGUCCUAUGAUUACCCUGGCUUUCUGCCUACAGAUACUUUCUGGACAGUGGCACAGAAGUGGGGGAAACCAAGCAGACCAUGGUGCUCUCUCUGAGUCAGAGCUCAGGAGAAUUAAGUGGUUGGAAUUUGUGAAAUGGAGCACCAGAGAGAAAGAAGGGAACUCCUCAAGGAAACAACUCCAAAAUCCUGCAUAGACCCUUUGAGUCUUUGGCUGAAAACUAAGCUGUGCACAAGAUGAAACUAACUCUUUGAAACUGGGCAAAGAACAACUACUGAUUAUCUGUCUGCUGAACAAGUCUCAGAGUUCACACAGGGCUAGAGGGGUUCAAGUUCUGAUAAGCUAAAGUAGAAUGACUUCGUUGGAAACUUGGGACGUUCAGUAGAAAGCCCAAAAAGGUCUCUCCUAUAGCUACUCUAGACCUGCUCUAACAAAGUUCAAAACAAGUCUUGAAAGGAUCAAAUUUAUCUGUAAAUUAAAUGUCCACCAGAAGAAGGCCUACCACUGUUUAACAAAAAAUUAAAAAUUCAGACAUUCAACAAUGUAAAACUCACAAUGUCCAUCAUCUAAGGAAGUAUUACUAGACAUGUGACAAAGCAGAAAAAUGGGACCCCUAACCAGGAGUAAAAUUAGUAAAUUGAAAGAGACCAAGAAAUGACAGAGAUAAAAUUAGCAGGCAAGAAAUUUUAAAUGCCUGUCAGAAAUGCUCAAAGAUUUCAAGGAAAACAUGAACACAAUGAAAAGAAAAACAUGAGGUAUAGAUAAGAACCAAAUGCAACUUCUAGAGCUGAAAAUAUAGUGUGUGGAACAAAAAAAAAUUUACUGAAUGGGAUUAAGAACAAGAUUACACACUGCAGAAGAAAAGAUCAGACAACUUGAAAGCAAGGCAAUAGAAACUAUUUAAAAUGAAGCACAGAGAAAAAAAAACUCAGAGCUUUAGUAAUCUGUGAGACAAUAUCAAGCAAUAUAACAUGUGUCUAAUUCAAAUUCCAAGAAAGGGGGCAGAAAAUAUUUAAAUAAAAUGGCCAAAAGUUUCCAGACUCAUAAUAAAAUUAUAAAAUAAAAAUUACAGGCCAGGCGCAGUGGCUCAUUUCUGUAAUCCCAGCACUUUGGGAGGCUGAAGCGGGCGGAUCACGAGGUCAGGAGAUUGAGACCAUCCUGGCUAACACAGUGAAAUCCCAGGUUACUAAAAAUAUGAAAAAUUAGCUGGGCGUGGUGGUGCGCACUUAUAGUCCCAGCUACUCGGGAGGCUGAGGCAGGAGAAUUGCUUGAACCUGGGAGUCAGAGGUUGCAGUGAGCUGAGAUGGUGCCACUGCACUCCAGCCUGGGCGGCAGAGCAAGACUCUGUCUCAUUAAAUAAAUAAAUAAAUAAAUAAAUAAAUAAAUAAAAAUUAUAAACCCUUAGAUCCAAGAACCUCAAUGAAUAUAAUGAACACCAAAAUAAACUAUACCAAAGAAUAUCAUAUCUACACUUUUGAAAACCAAUGAUAAAGAGAAGACCUUAAAAACAGCCAGAGAUGGCCAGGUGCAGUGGCUCAUGCCUGUAAUCCCAGCACUUUGGGAGGCUGUGGUAGGUGGAUUGCUUGAGCUCACGAGUUUGAGACCAGCCUGGGCAACAUGGUGAAUUCCCAUCUCUACAAAAAAUACAAAAAUUAGCCGGGCAUGGUGGCAUGCACCUGUAGUCCCAGCUACAUGGGAGGCUGAGGUGGGAGGAUGGCUUGAGCCCAGGAGAUGAAGAUUGCAGUGAGUCGAAAUCAUGCCACUGCAUUCCAGCCUGGGUGACAGAGCCAGACCCUGUAUCAAAAAAAAAAAAAAAAGACAGAGAGAAAAGGAUGAGAAUUAUUACAGACCUCUUUUCAGAAGUUAAGCAAGACAAAAGACCACAGAAUGACAUCUUUAAAAUUUUAAAAGAUAAAUUUUAAAACUGUCAACCUAGAAUUCUUCAUCCAGAGAAAAUAUCCUUCAAAAAAUGAAGGUGACACAUUACCCACAAAAAUUAACUUAAAAUGAAUCAAUGACUUAAAUAUAAGAGCUAAAGCCUCAAAAUCCUUAGAAAAGAACACAGAGGUAAAUCGCCAAUCUCCAUGAACUUGGAUUUGGCAGUGGA